rnacentral:lncRNA from 1 species
AGAGGGCACAGCAAUGGAGGCUGCCAAUGGCUUCCAGUCUCAGCUUCACAGAUGAAAAGGACUCAACUUGCCUCUGUAAAACAGCCAUGGAGGUGCAGUGAAGCGGGGGAUCGCUUCCUGGUGGUGAAUGUAAGCAGCUCUUCUGUGGCAUGGAGCAAUCACUAGGUGCAGUAACAGUACACUGCAAUGUGCAAAGAGGGAAAUGAAGACGAGCUCAUCCAAAGGAAACUACACAGGCAUUUUAGAUCAGCCCAAUGCAAUUAUCCAAGCUGGAAUCAUUCCAGGACACCAAGC